GCCCCGCCGGCCCUCCGCCGCCGCGCCCGCCUACAAGGCCCUGAGGGAGACGGCGGAGGGCGAGUGCCCGGCGGGCUCGGCUGACUGUUGGCCCUGCGGCCGGCGCCCUAGGCGGCCUCCCCGCGCCUCCCCGCCUCCUCGGCUCUGGUUCCAACACCCCAGCGCCAAGCCGGGGAGGCGGGGAGGACUUCCUAAGUGUGCCGCUCGGGAGCCUCCCGCUCGUCCCGCCCCGGAGCCUCCCGCUCGUCCCGCCCCGAGGGGCGUGAGGAGGGGAGGGGCUGCGGACUUCGGACUCGGGCCUGGAGACCGCCUCCUACCCAGAGCCGGAGCCCGCAACCCGCUCAGGCGGCGACGGAGCCAUGUCGCCGCUGCUGGGGCUCCUGCCCGAGCUGCAGGACAGCUGCACCUCGCUGGGACUGAUGCUGUCGGUGGUGCUGCUCAUGGGGCUGGCCCGCGUAGUCGCCCGGCAGCAGCUGCACAGGCCGGUGGCCCACGCCUUCGUCCUGGAGUUUCUAGCCACCUUCCAGCUCUGCUGCUGCACCCACGAGCUGCAACUGCUGAGCGAACAGCACCCCGCGCACCCCACCUGGACGCUGACGCUCGUCUACUUCUUCUCGCUUGUGCAUGGCCUGACUCUGGUGGGCACGUCCAGCAACCCGUGCGGCGUGAUGAUGCAGAUGAUGCUAGGGGGCAUGUCCCCCGAGACGGGUGCGGUGAGGCUAUUGGCUCAGCUGGUUAGUGCCCUGUGCAGCAGGUACUGCACAAGCGCCUUGUGGAGCUUGGGUCUGACCCAGUAUCACGUCAGCGAGAGGAGCUUCGCUUGCAAGAAUCCCAUCCAAGUCGACUUGCUCAAAGCGGUCAUCACAGAGGCCGUCUGCUCCUUUCUCUUCCACAGCGCUCUGCUGCACUUCCAGGAAGUCCGAACCAAGCUUCGUAUCCACCUGCUGGCUGCACUCAUCACCUUUUUGGUCUAUGCAGGGCCGACAUAUAGAGCCUUCAUGCAGUGCUUCUUUGAACACCCAGAGAAAGGAGCCACCUCUGCUGAAACUGAGAUACGGUGGUAUAGAUCGUUUCGGAUACUCUUACUGAAAAAUGAUCCUGGCUUUACAAAGUUCCUUUCGAUUUAAAGCACAAGGCACAUGAUUGAUCUCAGAUGCAGUGGGCAAUCUAGUCCUAAGUGGGAGGAGGAAAUCCAAAACACAAGUAUUUAAUGAUGAAAUGUGUCAUUUUAAAUGAUUACAACAGAAUAUCUUUAUUGGGACUACAUCUAAAUUAUAAAAGACUGUGGAGGCAGAAAUAACAACAAAGGAAAUUUGUGGUAAUAAUCUUCUGCCCAUUAAAAGUGAAACCAUGACUAGAAGCAAACUUCAAGAUAAGGACUCCUAAACAUGUACUUGAAAUGAAAUGAAAGCCUUCAGCCGGGCGCGGUGGCUCACACCUGUAAUCCCAGCACUUUGGGAGACCGAGGAGGAAGUCUAACAGGAGCUGUAUUUAAUCCAGCUUUGGCACUUUCGCUACAUUUCAUGUGUUUUGAUGAAGCAUUCCCUCAGUUUUUUAUAGUAUACUGGCUGGCUCCUUCUUUAGGUAUAUUGUUGAUGAUUUUGAUGUUCAGCUUUUUCCUUCCAUGGCUGCAUAACAACCAUACAAUUAAUAAAAAGGAAUAACUGUUCCAAAGACUCAGACUAACAUACAGGACAGUCCAGCUGGAUGUGAUAAAGAUUUUAUCACCUCAUAUGGAAAACACCGGCUGCACUGGAUUCAUCAGUGUUAACUUCCUUUGAGGAAGCUGCCUUAUAGUUUUCAUCACUGGGACUUAAAAAAAAAUUACUGUGAAAAUGAGGUAUUCUGUACUUCUCAGUUAAGACUUGUUCUUUGAGUGAUGUAUUAAAUGCUGCUAGAAAAGCCUCAUUACAUUAAACAUAAAUCAAUCUUAAAUGAUAAUUGUUAACUUUGAUGAAAAACGAGUACAGGAUGAGAAGGGAAGUAAAGGUGAUAGUAAGACCAA